GACCAUCGAGUCUUUGAACGCAAGUUGCGCCCCAAGCCUUAUGGCCGAGGGCACGUCUGCCUGGGUGUCACGCAUCGUAGCCC
rnacentral:rRNA from 1 species